GCCGAAGUGGCUCAGUGGUAGAGCACCCGACUCAUAAUCGGGAGGUCGUGGGUUCGAUACCCACCUUCGGCA
rnacentral:tRNA from 1 species